rnacentral:rRNA from 1 species
UACGGAGGGGGCUAGCGUUGUUCGGAAUUACUGGGCGUAAAGCGCACGUAGGCGGCUUUGUAAGUUAGAGGUGAAAGCCCGGGGCUCAACUCCGGAAUUGCCUUUAAGACUGCAUCGCUAGAAUUGUGGAGAGGUAAGUGGAAUUCCGAGUGUAGAGGUGAAAUUCGUAGAUAUUCGGAAGAACACCAGUGGCGAAGGCGGCUUACUGGACACAUAUUGACGUUGAGGUGCGAAAGCGUGGGGAGCAAACAGG